rnacentral:rRNA from 1 species
CCUUGCCAGCCCGCUCAAGAACUUAAAGGAAUUGACGGGGGCCCGCACAAGCGGUGGAGCAUGUGGUUUAAUCGAUGAUACGCGAGGAACCUUACCUGGGCUCAAAUGUAUGUUGACGUAUUCUGAAAGGGAUACUUCUUCGGACAAUAUACAAGGUGCUGCAUGGUUGUCGUCAGCUCGUGCCGUGAGGUGUCGGGUUAAGUCCCAUAACGAGCGCAACCCCUAUCAUUAGUUGCCAUCAGGUCAAGCUGGGGACUCUAAUGAAACUGCCUACGCAAGUAGUGAGGAAGGUGGGGAUGACGUCAAAUCAGCACGGCCCUUACGUCCAGGGCUACACACGUGCUACAAUGGCCGGUACAAAGGGCAGCUACCUGGUGACAGGAUGCUAAUCUCAAAAGCCGGUCUCAGUUCGGAUCGGAGUCUGCAACCCGACUCCGUGAAGCUGGAAUCGCUAGUAAUCGUGGAUCAGCAUGCCACGGUGAAUACGUUCCCGGGCCUU